rnacentral:piRNA from 1 species
UAAACUGGAAAUGGAUAAUCAGACCUGGC